AUGUCCAUCCAUCCAUGUGUCCAUCCAUCCAUCUGUAUGUCCAUCCAUCCACGUGUCCAUCCAUCCGUCUGUCCGUCUGUCUGUCUAUCUGUACGUCCAUCCAUUCAUCCAUCCCCCAUCCAUCCAUCAUCCAUCCAUCCAUCCCUCCAUCCAUCCAUCCCCCAUCCCUCCAUCCAUCUGCCCAUUCAGGCACCCUUUGGGGUCAGCUGGCAGCAGAGCCCAGCCCUGGGUAGUGUCAGUGGCCAUGGCAUUGGCAGUGUCAGUGUCAGUGUCAGUGGCAAUGGCAGUGACUGUGGCAGUGGCAGAGCCUUUGUCCCGUGCCAGGACACACCUGGUGAUCCUCCUGGGCUCCAUGAAGCUGGGCGAGUCGCGUCUCCUCUUCCUGAUGGGGGAAUAGCUCCUGGAGCGGCGCCGGGGGCGGGCGGGAUCGGGGUCACCGUGACGUGUUCGGGGCUCGUUGUCCUUCUCUCUACAGCCCGGGGAGGAGNGGGGUUUGUGGGGAUGCUGGGGGAAUUCGUGUCCUCCAUCUCCCCCCAGGCUCCAGGAGAGCAGAACCUUUUGUCUCCUCCUCCUCCUCCUGCCACUGUCACAUCCAGCGCUGCCACCCUGCCCAGGCUGGCAUGUGGGGACAAGCUGCACAUGGAGUGCCACCAGUGUGUCCCCUCCUUACCUGUUCACCCCAUCUCUAACACCUCUGGACACCCAGGGACGGGCACCCAUCACUGCCCAGCUCCUGGGAUUUCUCCCCAAGGCCUGGUGAACCCUGGACAUGCCAGGUUUGGGAGGCUGACCCUGAAGUGCCCCUUGCUCCCAUCCCUGCUCCAUCAGGCCCCUGCUGACGAGGCUGAGCUGGGCUCCAGAGGAUCCUCCCGACCCCGGCUGGCUGGGAACCAGCCAGAGCCCGGCUGUGCAUGCAGGGGCGGCGGGUUAAUGCGGGCAGCUGCUCUCCCACCCAGCGAGGCUCAUCCCCAUUGUCCUGCUCCAGCCAGCCGCAAACGCGGAGCCAGCGGCGUUAAACACCGACCCCGGGGCCACCACUGUCCUCAGCGCCUGGGGGCUUGGUUUUUUCUGGGAAAUCAGCAAAAUCCUGCGAAAGCCGGGCGGCAAGCCAAGCCCGGGACCCUCCUGCCUCUCUCUUCCCAUAAUUGA
rnacentral:lncRNA from 1 species